GUAGUCUUUGUUCUCAUUUAAACACUGAAUGGCCAUUGACUUCUUUUGAAAAAGAAAAAGAAAAAUGACAUCUUCUGUAACCAGAAGCACUCCAAGAACAACACUUUCAUUCAUGGACUUAACAACUACAUUAGAUCAUACCAGCCUGUCACUUCAAAGUCACCAGUGUCAAGGAACAUUUCAAAUUGGCUUAAAGCAUUGUUUUGGAGGUGUGAAUAAUGAAGCCAAGGACAUUAGCAACAUCAUGAAAGCAGGCAUCAAGUGAAUAGAGAAGAUUCUAUGGAUGUAGAAGAGGUCCCUGGGUUUCCGAAUUGCCACUGGAUUGCCUCUAUCAAAUACACAAGAGUUUCAUGAGUGAGAAAUAACCUUCUGUUGCUUUAAAUCUUGGGUUGUGCAAUACAUCAGUGAGCCUACCAUGACUAAUACAUUCUAUGGAUGCAGAUUUCUCUUCUCUGGCCAUUGACAUGAGUGUGCUUUCUGGAUGCAGUCACAGGGGACCCAAGAUUCUUGGACAGAAUUCUCGCCGGGAGCCAACUCAGCCUGAUCUGCUGGCAUCUCUCAAGUAUCAGAAGUCAACAAAAUGGUUUGCCUUGAAGACUUGGCCAGAGCAGCAGCCAAAGUUCAUAAGGCUUUCGUAGAGAGAUUGUUUGUCUAAGAAAACAAAAUUCUAAGGGCUCCCAUUGUGCAGCUGGGGUGGCAAAAUGCAAACUAAUAUAAGGAAAAAAAAUGCUUUUCAUUUCCAUGGAAGAAAUGACCCAUCCUAUUGUUGAUAUUUCCUUUUCUGUGCUAACUUAUUCCAUUAAUUAGGCUCUCGUUUUAUGAGAUAAUUUCACUGCAUGCGUAUCUUCUUUUGGUUAUUACACAAGGACUGUUUUCUAUGGUUCAUAUCUAAGUCCAACCCUGGAAAAAUCUUUUUUUUUGAGACAGCCUUUUUUGUUUUGUUUUGAGACAAUACUCCCUCUGUUGCCCAGGCUGGAAUGCAGUGGUGAGAUCAUAGCUCACUGCAACUUCUGCCUCCUAGGCUCAAAAAAUCCUCCCACCUCAGCCUCCCAAGUAGCUGGGAUUGCAGGCAUAUGCCAUCACACCCGGCUAAUUUUUGGAUUUUUAGUAAAGUUUUGCCAUGUUGGCCAGGCUGAUCUUGAACUCCUGCCCUCAAGUGAUCUGCCCACCUUGACCUCCCAAAGUGCUGGGAUUACAGGUGUGAGCUACUGUGCUCAGCUCAGCCAUGGAACAAUCUUGAUGUAUAAUUUAUCUGCAGGUAUCUCCAUCUCUAUUUGCCACUCUUAGUAAAUGUUUUAGUUUGACAGUAAACGAGUUGAGACAUUAAUGAUUGAGAGAGCACCUAAGCAGCUCGAAGUGCUGGGAGUCUCUCCUAAAGAAUUAGAUGCACACAGCAUUUUUCCCUUACAGACACUUCACUGAGCAGUCAUGUUGGACUUGGGUGGCGUCUGCUAUUAGACACACUAUUCACCAAUAAAACCCUGAAAAUUGCAUUGCACAGGACUGAUAAAAAUAAGAUGACUUAAGAAACGUAUUUAUGGUAUAUAUACACAGAAAAAGAAUGAAAGUUUGAGGGGGUAUUGCCUCUGGGAGGAAGAGUUAUGAGUAGUUUGUAUUUCCUUUUUUGUUAAUCUGUAUUUCAUUUUUUAGGCAAUGCAAAUAUAUUAUUUAGACAACAAAAUACUUAUUAGAAAGAAAAGACAUGGUGGGUUUUUUCCCCUUUAUUCUUUGCUUUUCUAAGAGGAAACUUUGACUGCAAUUGCUUGUGAGUGAUACCUGUGUUCUGGUAGCUUAGGAAGACACAAUGUGGUUAGGGAAGGAUAAGAACAGAUGGCUUUAAUAAAUGUACUCAAGGCUAAUGUACCCUUCAUAGUCUCAGGCUUCAGAUCAGAUCUCUUAUCUAUGCUGGCACCAGGAUGUGGUUUUGAGUUCUCUGCUUUUUCUACAGCUUUAGGGAAAUCUGCAUGCAGGCACAUCUAAUUGUCCAAACCAAAAAUCACAUCCAGGAUGUGAGGCAGCCUGGGAGAGGUCAUUUUGAGUUCUGUAGUCUCCGAAGUAUAAAAACACAUAAACAUGUAUACAUACACACAUUAACACCCACACACUUUUGAAGGAAGAUGGAAUGGAAGACAAGCACCACAGUGAAACUUUAGAAGAAUUUCCCUUACAUUCAGGAAAAAAAGAUAGAGGGUCCAUUUUCAUCACUCUUAUUGCCAUUGUCUAGAAGAUAAGCCGUAAUAAGAUAAAAUAAAAAGUGUAUAGAACACUUGGAAAAAAAUAUAAAAGAUUGGUCCCAUUCUCCGAUGGCAUGAUAUUCAAAUGAAGAACCAACUAUAAACAGGUUGUUAUGAGCUGAAUGUUAAUGUGACCCCAAAAUUCAUAUGCUGAAAUCUUAACCCCAAAGGUGAUAGUGUUAGAUGGUGAGGCUUUUAGGAGUUGACACAGUGUAAUGCCUCUUCUAUGAAGAAGUGGGCCUUUGUCAGUUACCAAAUCUGCAGAGGCCUUGAUCUUGAACUUCCCAGCCUCCAGAGCUUGGAGGAAUGAAUGUUUAUUGUUUGUAAACCACCCAGUUUAUGGUAUUUUAUUAGAGCUGCUCAAAGGGUCUAAGACACAAGUAUAAGUCAUAAGUAAAUGCAUCAAAUUUGCUGAAUAUAAAUCAACAUAUAAAAAAUCAACAGCAUGCUUGGAUCCCUGGUAUGAAUCACAUCUGGUCAUGGCAAAUAAUCUAAAAAAAAAUAAUAAAAUAAUCAAUUUAAAAAAUUUAAAAAGCAACAGUAUUUACUAUUCAUUGCCAAUGACCAAUUAGAAAAUGGCAUAAACAUGACAUCUGUGAUAAGACAAAUACUCUAAGGUAACUAGAACUACAAGUAAUAAAAGAUGUGUACAGUUUACAGAGACGAUUGUAGAAAGCCAAAAAAAAUUAAAAGUGAAAACCUAAAUGGGAAGAAGCAUCAUGUAUAUUGGGUCAUAGUAGAUAUCAUAAUAUAAAUUAUAAAAUACAGAACAAAAUGAUAUAAAAUACUAAAUUUCAAAAUGUGUUGGAUAUAGCUAAAGCAGCACUAAAGAGGAAUUUAUAGGUUUAAAUACACGUAUUGGGGGAGGAAAGAGAUAAAGUUUGAUAUGGCGGUAAGCAUCCACUUAGGGAAAAGUACAAAAAGAAAAUAAUAGUAGAAAGUAAUAAAAUAGAAAAUAUAAAAGAGGUUUUUUAAAAAAUACUUACAAAAUGGACAGUCUUUAUGGGGAUUGAACAAGAACAAAGAAAGAAGGCACUGAUAACCAAUGUCAAGGAUAUGGAAGUGGAUAUGUGGAUAUAACUAAAAUGCUGCAGUUAUUCGAGAUAAGAGUAUUAUAAGUAACUGUAAGAUAACACAUUUAAAAACUUGGUCGAAAUGGUCAAAUUUGUAGAAAAGUAUAUCUCAACAAAACUGAUUCAAGAAAAAUAACCCAUUAAAAAAUAAAUCAGCAGUUACCUUUUAUUUAUUUAUUUUUGACAAGAAAAUAUCAAAUGGUUUUACUGGCAAGAUCUGCCAAAUAUUCAAGAAACAAGUAAUUUCAAUUUUGGACAGAAUUUUCCAGAGAAGAGAAAAUGGGAAGAGGGUUGUUCCUCAUUUUAUGAAGCUAGUAUACACAUCAGUGCCAACAUUUGACAAGGGAAGUUUGAAAAAGGAAAAUCACCGACUAAUCUCUCCCAUGAGCAGAGACUUAAAAAAUUCUAAACAAAAUAUUUGCCAACCAAAUCCGAAUAUAGAAAGGAUUGUACACCAUGAUCAAGUUGAGCUCAUCCUAGGAAUGUUUCCUUUAUGGUAACAUUCGGGAAAGCAAAAUACAUGGGUGCACAUGCAAGAGGUAGGAGAUUGAGACUGGGAGUCUGUAGAACUUCUGAUUUCAUCCAUUUUUUGCAAGUGAAUUAGAUUUUCUUUAAAAAGGUUAUUGGGUGAAGGCGCAGAUAGAGGAGCAGGUCUUGGAGAUUUAAGGGGAAAGGAAGUAUGAUACAGUCUUCUAGAAGACUGGAAGAGUAAAUGGAAUAUAGCGUGAUUGCAUUGGGGCUCCUCUGAGCUUUAUGGGCAUGAAUUUAAAGAUUAUUUGAGGCCCUGGUUUGUGCAGUAAGAAAAAUUUUGUUUAGGGAUUAGGAAGGAAGAAAUAAAACUAAAAAUCUCCCAUUAUUCACAGAUGACAUGAUGAUUCUUAUAGAAAACCCAAAAGAUAUUACUACAUCAAUAUAGAAAACUCAAUUACAUUUCUUUAUUUUUCUUUUUCUUUUCUUUUUUUUUUUUUUUUGCUUUAAGUUCUAGGAUACAUGUGCAGAACGUGCGGGUUUGUUACAUAGGUAUACAUGUGCCACGGUGGUUUCCUGCACCUAUCAACCCGUCAUCUAGGUUUUAAGCCCAGAAUGCAUUAGGUAUUUGUCCUAAAACUCUCCCUCCCCUUCCCCUACUCCCCCCAACAGGCCCUGGUAUGUGAUGUUACCCUCCCUGUGUCCCUGUGUUCUCAAUGUUCAACUCCUACUUAUGAGUGAGAACAUGCGGUGUUUGGUUUUCUGUUUCUGUGUUAGUUUGCUGAGGAUGAUGGUUUCCAGCUUCAGCCAUGUCGCUGCAAAGGACAUUAACUCAUUCGUUUUUCUGGCUGCAUAGUAUUCCAUGGUGUGUAGGCGCCACGUUUUCUUUAUCCAGUCUGUCAUUGAUGGGCAUUUGGGUUGGUUCCAAGUCUUUGCUAUUGCAAAUAGUGCUGCAAUAAACAUAUGUGUGCAUGUGUCUUUAUAGAAUGAUUUAUAAUGCUUUGGGUAUAUACCCAGUAAUGGGAUUGCUGGGUCAAAUGGUAUUUCUGGUUCUAGAUCCUUGAGGAAUCACCACACUUUCUUCCAUAAUGGUUGAACGAAUUUACACUCCCACCAACCAUGUAAAAGCAUUCCUAUUUCUCCAUGUCCUCACCAGCAUCUGUUGUUUCCAGACUUUUAAAUGAUCAUCAUUCUUACUGGCAUGAUAUGGUAUCUCAUUGUGAUUUUGAUUUGCAUUCCUCUAAUGGCCAGUGAUGAGUUUUUCUUAUGUUUUCUGGCCGCAUAAAUGUCUUCUUUUGAGAAGUGUCUGUUCAUAUCAUUCACCCACUUUUUAAUGGUUUUUUUCUUGUAAAUUUAAGUUCCUUGUAGAUUCUGGAUAUUAGACCUUUGUCAGAUGGAUAGAUCGCAAAAAUUUUCUCCAAUUCUGUAGGUUGCGUGUUCACUCUGAUGAUAGUUUCUUUUGCUGCGCAGAAGCUCUUCAGUUUAAUUAGAUCCCAUGUGCCAAUUUUGGCAUUUUUUGAAAAUGCUUUUGGUGUUUUAGUCAUGAAGUCUUUGCCCAUGCCUAUGUCCUGAAUGGUAUUGCCUAGGUUUUCUUCUAGGGUUUUUAUGGUUUUAGGUUUUAUGUUUAAGUGUAAGGAGGGAUACAUUUAAGCCAAAAAGGACAGUCUACAUCUCUGCUUAUUGUCCCAAGGCAGCAGAAAUACAAUUCAUAGAUCCCAACACUUAGCCUUCCCCACCCUAGUCACACAGCAUCCCUCAGCCUGCCAAGGGAAUUGGUUCUGCAGACACGAGGGAUUUGCCCGGGGAUAAAGACCCCUUCUGGUUCAGACAUCAGGAGAUACAAAUGCAAUACACCACAGCUGACACAACUGGACAUCUUCAGUGUUGCAGUCUCACCCUAUCUCUCUGCUUGCCAGCUCCAGCUCAUCGGGCCAGUUAUGAGAAGGAAAACAUAUUUUCUAAAAGCUUUCUUAAGUGUUCACAUGGCCAGCUGCCCUUGUUUGUUCUCCUGAGUACUGAGGUCACUGGAAGCCACAAAACCCAGCUGGGACCACUUCAAUGAGUUAUGCUCCAGGGAAAAUUAUGGUGUGAAAAGGUAAAAGGAAAUUUUGGAAACUGGUGGAAUCUUCAUGGAAGUGUCACCCUGGGCUAAUACCAAGGAUCUGACAUAGACAAAAGUAUGAAUUACUCUGCAGGCUCAGCGCCAAGGGCAAGGUCGUAAGAGCCUGAGAUGGUCUUAACAAAUUAAGUGAGGCAGGCAAAGUUCAGUUGCUUACUGUGAGCUGGACCCUUCUACAUUAUUAUUUUUAUCAUGGAGUCCAAUGUCCCCAUGUUGAUCCUAACAAGCCAAGUCCCACAUUGCAUCAUCCCACAUGGGCCGGCCUUCUCUGGGCAAAACUUCAAGAUGUGAAACUCCUUUUUUCUCCUCUCAAAAUGUGCCAGUCCUGAGUCUCCUGUAUUGGGUUCAUUAAUGUUAACAUACUUUUUCUGGUCUGCUACAAUGAUCCAGGCACUGCACUAUAGUCCAAAGGCACAAAACAAUAAAUUAGACUUGCCCCUUGUUCUCAGGACUGAAAAUGGUUCCAUUCACCAAAAAAACAGGUGAAAGUUUACCCAGCACCUAAACCUGUACUAAUGUAUUAAUUAAUGCAUCACAGUUUAUUUAUUCUACACUUAUUUUACUUGCCCCUGUAAUAUACCACUAGAUGCUUCAGUAUGGGAGAUAUUGAACUCUAAAGUUCUAAGGGUGCUGUGGUGGAGAUAUGGACAUAUCUCAAAAUUAGCAGGAAAUUUAAAUAGCGAUUUUAAGAGAAAGUAAGAUCUGGUUAUGAGAAAGGAUGAAGCUACUCUGGGUGAGAGAAAACUGAGAACUAUGCCCUAGGAAUAUCCAACAUUUAAAGUGUAAACAAAGAAAGUAAAGACAGAGAUGACAACUGAGAAAGAGUGGUAGUCACAGGAGACUCAAGUGAGUGUAGCUGGAAGAUGUCAUCAGAACCCUAGUUAAUAACAUGUGGUCUACCAUUGCUACAAUACAAUGCCCUCCAGCCAUCUCAGGCAGGUGGGCCUUUACUUUCCUCAAAUUACAUUCACAGAUGAACAACCCAUGCUCUAUGAAGGAGUCGGGCCUGCAUACUAUCCUUCCCAAUGAGGGAGAUGUGACAGUUCAGGAUUCAGGAAAGGACCAAAUGGACUCACCAGGCAAGUGUGCUUUAGGAUGGAGGGCAGGGUUGGCUCUGUGCCAGGAGUGUAGAUUUCAUCUGUUGGCUGCAAAUGUGUGCCAGUUCCCAAUGGAAUGCUACUGUUCUCUGACCUGCCCUCAACUCAUAACACAAGUCACAAUUCACUGGAGUUUCACAGUACGUUUCUGUGGAUGUUUGGAAUCAGAAAUGCAGACUCACAGAAUAGCUGUAUAGGAUUUAAAGAGAAUCGGCAGAGUUCAGGCUGCUCAUUUUACAGAGGAGGAGGCUGAGUCUGAAGACUUACUAAUUUGGCCAGGGUUGCAUGGCAGUUUAGCAGAGUAGUUAAACAAAUGGGCUUGAAACUCAAAGAGUCCCUGAGAAUCUUAAAUUGUGUGCCUUAGGCAAGUCUGCUAAAACUGCUAUGUCUCAGUUAACUCCUCUUAAAACUGAGUAAGAAUAACAUAUAUAUAUAUAUAUCAUAUAUUAUGAUACAUGAUAUAUACAUAAUUCAUGUAUUAUAUCAUGAUACAUGAUAUAUAUGUAUUAUUCAUGUAUAUGAUACAUGAUACAUAUAUCAUGUAACCUAUGAUAUAUAUCAUAUAUGAAGAUUAUAUAUAUAUCUCAGAGGUUAUUUGUAAGAGAUGAGAUAGUGAAUUCAAAGCACUUAGCAUGACAGCUAGCAUAUGGUGACACAGCUAUCAUGCAAAGCCAAGUCUUCUGACUCGUACUUUAGUGCUCUUUCCUCUGAACCAUGAUCCCUCCUUUAAAUAGAGAAGUUAAAAAUGAACUUACAGAGACAUUCUAUGUGUACCAACCCAACACUAUAGCACUUGAUUUAUGCAUUCAUUUUUAUAACAACUAUCAUUUGAGCAUCUAUGUACCAGGGUGCUGAUGUAACCAUGCUGAGUGCUGAGGUACUCAUGCUGAAUCAGAUGUGAUCUCUUCCCACUAAGGAGAGAGAAGAUUGUGCCUAUGGUAGCCAGGAAUGAGGUGCACUUGCAAGGAGUAGGGAGGAGUGGGGAGAGUCUAGAGGCAAGGAGAUGAGAUAGAAAGUUCUUGCCCUAAUUUAGGCAAGAGGCAGCAGGGUCCUGAAUUACCUUGGAGAAAAUGGAAAUUAGGGGAAAGGACAAAGAAAUGAGGUAGGAACAUGAGACUUACCCUUGACACAUGAUUAUUAUGUUUAUGAAAUAUUUGUUUUUGUGUUUCUGACAAGCAAUUUGCCUCCAGAAUUGCCAAAUGAGUCUGGUUGUUACUCCAGACUCAAGGUAACAUCUGCUUAUUGCUAGUGCAUAGACCAGGGCAGGUGAUGGGCUUUAGGCCUCUUAUCUAGCGUCUUACACAAAAUUGCAAGUAGACCCAGAAUUACUAGUGCCAGGGCUGCAGAAAUAGGAACUGUUUAGCCAGGUCUAUGACCAUCUGUUUUCCCUCCUGCCAAAUGCAUCGAGGGCAUGAUAGAUCUGGCUUAGAUGGUAACAAAGUGAGAGCAGAGUUGAGCAAAUAGACAAAUGUUUAUCUUUUGCAGGAAUGUGCACUUGGCUCUGGGGAUUGUAGCUGUCCAUCAGCAUCCACACUGGAUGAAACUGCUGAAGGAAGGGGCUCCGAAAACACCCACUUUCCUCAGCCUCUGCGGCCUUAACUCCAUGUGCCAGCAGGUCAGGCUAACAGGCUGUGGUGCUAAAGGCAUCAGGCAGACAUAUCUACUGGCCCAUUAAGAUUCUGUACCUAAACACUACCCACCCCGCCCACCCUGCCCCAGUGAUGGCCCUGCCUUUCCUGCCAGGCCUGCUCUCCUCCCCAAGAAAGGGAAAAUGGUUAGCAACUUUCAGAAACUAAAACAAACACAAAAGUUUGCCAACAUUAAACUCUGCUUCACAGCUAAAUGGACCAUAAACUUUCAGCACCUUGAACAAAACUUCAAUUCAAUCCCUUCUACAGGUGCUGUGGGCACAAAGACUGCACAGUGUAUUUUUGCCCUGGGAAAGAGUCUCAAAUUAUUAUUUUUGUAAAAAAAAAAAAAAAAAGAAAAGAAAAAGUUGCCUGGAAAAAAGUUUCAUUUUGUGCUUAGAAAAACAAGCCAAGAGGCAACGCACACCCCCUUUCUCUCCAUUCUCACUUCCCUGCACUCUCACGAGAAGAUUCCAGCCCACCUUGAAACCCAGCAUGGAUACUAGAGAAGACAUCUUUUUCUCCAGUUUUCAAAUAAGCCUCCAGGAUGAGGCACACGCAGACCUUUCCUGCUAGCCUGUAAUUCACCACCUUCUAAAAGGACCAGGUCAUGAUACAAAUGAAAGCAAUGAAAAGCACAGGCCUGCAUGCCCAAGGUCUGAGUCUUGCUCCCUGUCAUCUUCGGUGUGACCUUAGCGUGUCACUUGACCUCUCAGGUCUCACAUUUAGCAUCCAGACAACUCAGGACUUAAGUUCUCUUACAGCUCUAAAAUUCUGUAUGGGAAUGACAUCAAUAAAGUAAUAUAAUUUUUUGUUCAAACCAGCAAAGAUGUGCAAAUACAAGGGGUAGUGAAUAGCAAUUAUGCCUGGCAUCCAGCAGAACUGUGCUGGGAACCAAGACCUGUGGUUCUGAGGGCUGUCCAGAGAGCGCCACGGCCAUUCGCGUGCUAAACCUUUGCAACCUGAGCCCAGUAACAGGAACACAGAACAUUCUCCAGGAGUCUGGGGCCUUGCCUCCAUUCUCCAGCUGCUCCUCUCCCAUUGUUUUCCCUCUCUACACGACUGCCCUUUCUUGGGCUCCCCAUGCUCUAAGUUAAGUUGGCAGCAUGGCAGAGAUUGAGAGCACAGAUUCUGGUCUCAGACUGCAUGGGCUCAAAUUACAGCUUCAUAAUUUACCACAUGAUCUUGGGCAAGUUACUUAAACUCAAAGAUAGACUUUUCAAACAUUUUUUCACUGCAAUCCACAGUAAGAAAUAUAUUUAACAUAAAUAAUACUCUACGUGUGUGCACACACACACACAUACUCACAUAAAUUAAAAGAUUAAUAAAAAAUAAUUAUUUUUGAUAUUUUGUGAGCACCAUUUGAUUGGUCCUAUUCUAUGUAAAUUUCUAUAAAUGCUAGUCAUAAUCCAGCAAAUUGAUUUCAUGGUCUACUAAUGGUUUCAGACCCACAAUUUGAAAAACCCUGUUCUAAGCUUUAGUUUUCUCAUCUGUAAAAUGAAGAUAAUAUAAAUAAUAUCCUCUCUGUGGAGUUGUUAUGAAGAUGACUAAAAUGUUCAUAUAAAAGCGUUUGGCCACAGUGCAGGGUGGCUCACGCCUGUAAUCCCAGCACUUCGGGAAGUCAAGGCAGGCAGAUCACAUGAGGCCAGUAGCUCAAGACCAGCCUAGUCAACAUGUUGAAACCCUGUCUCUACAAAAAGUACAAAAAUUAGCCCAGCAUGGUGGUGCACACCUGUAGUCCCAGCUACUCAGGAGGCUGAGGCAGGAGAAUCACUUGAACCCGGGAGGUGGAGGUUGCAGUGAGCCAAGAUGGCACCACUGCAUUCCAUCCUGGGCAACAGAGUGAGACUCUGUGUCAAAAACAAACAAACAAACAAACAAAAGGUUUAGCUUGGAAGGUAAUAAGUGCUCAGUGAAUAUUAGUGUUAUUAUUACUCAAGGAAGGGCAUCAGUGUGAAAUAAAUCUUAUACUUCAAGUCCAAAAGGGAAGCUCCCAGUAAUCAUGCCCUUCAUGAACCUGUACAUGAAUCAAAUGGCUUUUCCCAUUGGGCAUGCAUGCCAUGCCAUCAAGCAAGUCAGAAUUUAAGCUUCUGUGCAGGUCAGUGAAGACAUGGUGCUUGCCACUGCAGCAGCAGCCAUCUUGCACACAUGAGGUGCCACACCUGAGGAAGGAAGAACAAAGCAAUGGAAAGACCAGUGUUUUGGUAUUACUGAGUUGCUGAACCAAUCCUGGAACUGGAUCUCAGGCUUUUUAUUUAAAUCAAUAAAAUCUCCUGAUGUUUAAAAGGCAAUUUUAUGCAAACCAGCUCAUUACCUCCUACAGUGUCCCUUCCCUCACCAACAGGAAGUGGCUCCACAUUUCAAUUGCCUUUUUGCCCUUGAGAAUCAGCAUUCCCUAAACCACCACUAUUAAAUUUGGGACUCUGAAACCACAGAAAUACCCUACAGUAGGAAAUCCCCCUUGGGUGCCUAGACUCUCUAUCACCUUUGCAAAGCUUUUAAGUAAAAAAGGAAAACCUCAGGCUUCCCACUUAGCCAUGGAAAGUGGUACCACCUUCAGAGGAAAGAUGGGGGAUUCAGGAGCACCACCUCCAAUUUUAGGAGGUGCCCCUGAUUUCCUCAAAUACUGACAGGUAAUUUAACCUAAACAAUGGAGAGGAGCCCUGCUUCAAGAUGCAGUGCUAGGCUCACCCUGACCAGCACUUGGUAGAUAAGAAAGAGAAAACAACUUACAAAUUCUUCAGUGAUGCUUGGCUCAGUACUUAGCUCGCUGGCUGGCUGACUUUGCAACUACUUCUAGUUAAGGGUUCCAAAGGACUGGAAGGUAAAUAACCAGCAAGGUGUCGUAACACUGAGACAGAGUGAAAUAUUAUUUCCACCCUCUCGUGACCUCGGUGGCCAUUUUCCAGCUCUAGGGCCAGUCUGCACAUGACGAUGAGUGGUAUCUGAUGGCUGGUCCUGGCAUGAAGUGUGAGGGAAUGCCAGUUUAGGACUUGAACCUUCCAUCUCCCACUGAUUCCAGUCAGAGUAAUCCAAACCUAGUCUGUCUUUUCUUUCCCUUAUGCUGCAAACUUUCCCCUGUUUUAGUCAAAAUACACCAGCUUAGUAAUUCUGGCUGCCACAGACUGAAUUUUGAGCCUCACCAGUUUCCAAAUAAUUAAGACAGAGAAAGUGAGUUAAAUAAAAUAUGGCCAGAUUAAAUAAACAAUUCGGUACUUUAGGAGAAGAAUUCAGGCUGGGUCUAAGAUAGGCGCCUAGCGCAGGGCUCUGCAGCAGACAUAAGGAAGUCUUAAGUUGGUUUUCAAUAGGUGUACCUAAGGGUGCAUUUGAUAACAACAACAAAAAGAGAGAUGGAAGCAAAUAUUUAACAAGCACCUAUUAUCUAUCAGGCACUACAUAUACAUUCUCUCAUUUUCUUCUUACAAAGUACACGUAUCCUAGCAAUUAUUUCCAUUUUAAAAAACUGAAAAUGAAAAAUUACUUGCUCAAGAUCAUAAAGCAAGUAAACAUUAGAAUUAGGAUUUAACCCUAGGCCCUUCUUGUGCAGGAGUCAUGCUCUUUCAAGCACACUGUGCUGUCCCCCGGGAAGAGUGAGGGUUAUCAGGAAAAGCAGUGGAAUGGCAGAAAAGAAGAAGGGGAAGGAUUUUAAAACAGGGAAAAGAAAGGACAGAAAUACAUAAAAAUAAGAAAUGGGAACAGGAAGGACUGCAAAGAUUAAGGAAGAACGGUUGGUGAGUACCUUGGCUAUUUAGUGGAAUUUGGUGAUUCAGAACUGGGAAUGGACAGUAAGCCCCUUCAAAUACCCUGGGGAAGCCAAGAUUGUCAUGGAGCUGUUCUUUUCUCUAUCUCAAGUACAAAUGUCUCAAAGAACUCUAAAAGCUACUUAAAGCAAGAGCAAGGAACUCAAACUAAGUUCUUAUUGAGUGGUGGCCAAAAAACAAGCUGGACGAGUUUCCAGAUGAUACUGCCGGGAUGAUUCUUUUAGCUGACAGUUACCAAAAAGGAAGGCUUUCAGGACAUGUCAAUAGCAGAUCUUACGCCUUCUCUGACCUCGGCCUUCCUCAGAGUCUUUUAGCUGUAAUGAGCAAAUAUUAGCAUAAGAGACAGGGACCAAAUAUUUGUUUAGUGUCUGUGUUGAUUAUUAAGCUGUUGCCUGUAAACUCCACACUCACCCUUCAUUCUCAGCUUUGUGUUGCUGGGGCUGGGCCUCUGUAAUCACAUUUCAGCUUUGCCAGAGGGAUUUCUCUUAGGCUGCCAGUAGUGGGGCACUAGAGGGAGUCUGGAGGCAGUGGGGAAGAAGGGAUUUGUUCCUUCUGUUUUUUUGCUGGUCCUGUCAGUAUCAUCCCAGCAGCCCUUAGCUCCAGUUUGCAGUUAUUUUCCUCACUACAAGAACACACUCCCUCAGUGAUAGCGUCUGUCAACCAGAACCUCCUCCCCAGAUAUUGAGUCCCUGUUUUGAGGGUCCCUGCUCUGAGUCUCCAACGCACCUGCCUCCACCAGGCAGCACCCCUCCCUCCUGGUCCAGUUUCCAGCUCUGCAGGGCCCUCCUCCAAGCUUCCAGAUCCCAGGCACCUGACGCAUCCCUUUUGUUCUCUCAGCCCUAGGGGUAGCGAUUGCUUCCUGCAGUUGCUAGCUCCGUGACCCUCCAGUGGUCCUCCUCCUCACUUUCAGUGCUUCAAUUCCUUAUAUUAAGUAUUCUUUAUUAGGAAAACUGAUGGGUGUCUGUUUUCUGGACUGGCCUUUACCUGAUUUGUUAUCACUUCUGUCUACGUCCAGGACAAUAUUGAGCAAUAUUCUGAGGCUAUACUGUGUUAAAAGGAAACUUCAGACAAAUUAAAUUUAACAGAGUUUAACUGAGCAAGAAAAAAAAAUUCAUAAAUUGGGCAGCCUCCAGAAUCACAACAGAUUCAGAGAGAGUCCAGGGAUGCCUUAUGGUCAGAACAAAUUUAUAGACAACAAAAGGGAAGUGACGUGCAGAAAUCAGAAGUGAGGUACAGAAACAGCUGGACUGAUUACAGCUCAACAUUUGCCUUUUUUGAACAAAUCUGAACACUCAGCAGUGUAUGAGUGGUUGACGUAUGGCUGCUGUGAUUGGCCAGACCUCAGCUAUUGUUACAGGCACAUACUCUUAAGUCAGGUUUUCAAUCCUAUCUGACUAUAAAGUUAGGUUACAGUUUGUCCUCAUGGACUCAAAUUUAGAAGUAUGGCGUCCUUCUCAGGCCAUAUUUAGUUCAGUUUAACAAGUGCAUAUGGCUUCUGACAAAGGUGUGGCCCCUUUAGGACUCCAAAGACGCUGUCACUUACAUGGUAUUCAGGGAGGACACAGAGGAUCUGUGAGCAGCCUGCAGCCAAGCUUUGAGAUCAUAUUGAGAUUUUUUUGUAAUAUAUGAGGAGUGUUCUGGCUCCUUUUAUUACUUUCUUCAUAGCAAAAAUUGGGGGUCCAAGUUGUCGUUAAAUUGAAACUCUCUCACUUACCCUGAAAAAGAUUUGACUGUGAGCAUAACAUUGUUACUUCAUUCAAGACAUGGAAGCAAAAGGGUUAAUUAGUGCUGCUCACAAAAUAGUUCUACUUUUUCUUCUUCCAAUUAUAUGAUUGGAUAACCCUUCCCUCCCUUGAAGUCAGGGUUGCCAUGUGGCUUACUUUGGUCAAUAGAAUAUGAUUGAGAGCAAUACUGUGGUACAUCCAUACAGUGGAAUAUUAUCCAGUGAUAAAAAAAAAAAAAAAAAGGAAAGAAAGAAAGCCACAAAAAGACAUGGAAGAGAGCCAAGCGCAGCGGCUCAUGCAUGUAAUCCCAGCACUUUGCGAGGCUGAAGUGAGUGGAUCACUUGAGCUCAGGAGUUCAAGACCAGCCUGAGCAACAUGGCAAAACCCCAUCUCUAAAAAAAAAUACAAAAAAAUUUUAGCUCAGUGUGACUCUGUGUGCCUGUAGUCCCAGCUACUGGGGAGGCUAAGGUGGAAGGAUCACUUGAGCUCAGGAGGUCAAGGCUGCACAAAGCUGCAAUGAGCAGAAAUCAUGCUUGGGCAACAGAGAGAGACCCUGUCUCAAAAUAUGUUAAUGAGAGAGAACUCUGGGCAAGGGGGUGGAGGGGCAGAGGAGGAGUGUGGGGAAGGGGAAGGAGUGCAUACCUGGAAACUCUACUUUCUGCAUAAUUUUUCUAUAAACCUGAAAUUGCUCUAAAAAGUAAAGUCUAUUUAAAAAUAAUAAAUAAGAAAGAAAUAUGAAUAUCACUUGUGUCACUUUUGUGUCAAAGCAUUAACGGCCAGCACAUGAUUUGCCUUGCCACUCCCUUCCUCUUGGUCUGUAGUCCAAUGCUCUACCUCUGAGCUAUACCCCUUCCUUGCCACUCCCUUCCUAAAGAUAAGCCUCCCUCAUUGGAUUAGAAUUCUCCGGAGAGACAGAGACAAUAAGAUAUAUAUAGAGAGAGAUGGAGAGAUAGAGAUAGGAAUUAUCACAGGAUUAUGGAGGCUGAGAAGUCCCGCAAUAAGCCAUCUAUAAGCUAGAGAACCAGGGAAGCCAGUAAUAUGAGUCAGUCUAAGCCUUAAGGCUUCAAAACCAGAGAUGUCAAUAGCAUAACUUUCACCACAAGACUGAAGGUCACAAGGCUGAAUGCCUGAGAAACUGGGGGGUCACUAAUCCAAGCCCCAGAUUCGAAAGGCUGGAUAGAGAACCUGGGGUUCUGAUGUCCAAGGGCAGGAGAAUAAGGGUGUCCCAGCUCCAGAAGGGAGUGAGCAAAUUCACCUUUCCUCUGGCUUUUUGUUCUAGUAGGACCUGAGCCAUAUGGACGAUGCCUGUCCACAUUGGGUGAGGCCACAUCUUCCUCACUCAGUCCACUGAUUCAAAUGCCAAUCUCUUUUGGAAACACCCUUAUAGACAUGCCCAGAAGUAAUGCUUUAUCAGCUAUCUGGGUACCACUUAAUCUGGUCAAGUUGACACCUAAAAUUAAUUAUCAUCACAACUCAUUCUGGUUCUGUUAGUGAGAAUAAUCAAGAAUGCAUCCCUAGCUCGUCACUUCCAAUGAGCCAGUCUUCAGUGGACAUGCACCCUGAGUGGAAAAAAAGUAAAAACUGUUUCUAUUGUUGUUUUAAACAACUUAGAUUCAGAGAUUAUUUGUUAUUGCAGGAUAACCUAGCUUAUCCUGACUAAUACAGAGAGAGGAAGUCCUCCUUUAAUCUCCAACAGAAAUAUUAAACAGCAAUCAAUCACACAAUAUUGGUUAAAAAAACAAAGAUAAUAAUCAUUGUUAUUAUUUUCAUUAUUUCUGGAAAUAAAUUUAAAACUAUUGAAAAAACUUACUUUUAAAAUUCUCAACAUCACUAAUCAUCCAGGAAAUGCAAAUCAAAACCACAAUGAGAUGUCAUCUCACCUCAGUUAAAGUGGCUAUUAUCAAAAAGACAGAACAUAGCAGUUGCUGAUGAGGAUACAGAGAAGGGGAAGUUCUCCUACACUGUUCAUGGGAAUGUAGAUUAGUAUGGAAGUCCAUCAGAAAACUAAAAAUAGAACUACCAUAUGAUCCAGCAAUCCUACUGCUAGGGAUGUAACCAAAAGAAAGGCAAUCAGCAUAUAAAAGAGAUAUCUGCACCUCUUUGUUUAUUGCAGCACUAUUCACAAUAGCCAGAUUAUAGAAUCAACAUAUGUGCCCAUCAACAGAUGAAUGGACAAAGAAAAUGUGGUAUAUAUUCACAAUGGAAUAUUCAUUCAUAAAAAAAUUAAAAUCCCAUCAUUUGAAGCAACAUGGAUGUAACUGGAGGAUAUGAUGUUAAAUGAAAUAAGCCAUGCACAGAAAGACAAAUAUCACAUGUUCUCACUCAUAUGUGGGAGCUAAAAAGGCUAAACUUAUGGAGGUGGGGAGUAGAAUGGUGAUUACCAGAGGUUGGGAAGUGUUGAAGUCAGAGAGGAAGAGAACUUGGUUAAUGGGUACAAAAAUACAGUUAGAAAGAAGGAAUAAGUUCUAGUGUUCACAGUAGAACAAACAUAAUUA
rnacentral:lncRNA from 1 species